GCUCUGUGUCCCCACCCAAAUUUCAUCUUGAAUUGUACUCUAAUAAUUUCCAUGUGUUGUGGGAGGGACCUGGUGGGAGAUAAUCGAAUCAUGAGGCUGGGCUCCCCCAUACUGUUCUCGGGAUAGUGAAUAAGUCUUAUGAGAUCUGAUGGUUUUAAAAAUGGGAGUUUCCCUGGACAAGCUCUCUCUCUCCCUCUUUGCCUGCUGCCAUUCACGUAAGACGUGACUUGCUCCUCUUUGCCUUCUACCAUGUUUGUGAGACCUCCCCAGCCACAUGGAACGGGACAAAAACAACCUAAGAGGCCAGGAAGUUUAUUCCUAUGAAAUGUUGCUUCUCCAAAGGCCAUCUCAACUCGAUUACACAUUUUCCAAAUAAAAUCUCUUAUAUAAAAGCUUUUCUUGGGGUUUAUCUUUCUCGAAAGUGAUAUAACUUCAGAUAGAAGCUGAUUUGACCAACCAAAUGACUUUGACUCAGUCUUCUGGUUGAUCAUUAUCAUGUAAGAAAACUCAGGUAAUUCCAGAUAAACCAAUGUUUUUUUAAAAAUUGUUUAGUCGUUUAUUUAUUUAUUUAUUUUUAUUUUACUUUAAGUUCUGGGAUACAUGUGCAGAACGUGCAGGUUU
rnacentral:lncRNA from 10 species